rnacentral:sRNA from 1 species
AGACCCACGGGGCUGCCCUCCCCUGCGCACUCCCCUCGCUGCCCGGGCCCGGAGCGCAGCGCGGCCGCGCAGGUAUUUUUGCUGUGCUGUGCAAGGAACUCUGCUAGCUCAAGGUGAGUAUACUGGGAAAGCCUUAACGUUCUAGAGAACAGAGUUUUGCAGCCCCACCUCCAUCCCCCGGGGUGUGGGAUUGGGGGGCAGGAAAUGCACCGUCUCCUUUGAAAUGGAUUACUGUUUUUUCCUUUCGACCCCCUCUUUCUGCAGCCUGCUUUGUAGGUGCAGUAUAAAAUGCACGCUGAAUGUCUUUUGUAUGUAAACAGCGUAGCAGGAUGGAGUAACGUGAAAUGCAAUUCUACAGCAGUUUUUACGUCUUUGCUGCCUCGUUCGUUGGCUACCGAGAAGGUUCAGGAGGGGGAGGGGAGAUGAGAAAGCAGAUUGGAAGUUGAGUAUGGUGGAGCCUCAGCCUCUCCCACCCUCCUUUCCUCGCUUGUGCUCACUGCUAAAGUUUUGUUACUUUCCCCGCAGCAGAUACUAAACAUCAGUUUGUCCUGUAUUUUCUUUGAGAUUCACAAUGUUGAAAGCCCUUUUCCUAACUAUGCUGACU